rnacentral:misc_RNA from 1 species
GGAGGGAUAGUUGGAGGAGAACCAGACUCUCCAUAAGCCAGCUCUGGAGGAAUGGUGAAAAUGGCAUUUUCACCCUUUUUCAUUGUCUUAAUACCUUGAUCCCAUCCCUUAAUCACUUGUCCUUGACCGAGAGUGAACUUGAAAGGAGUACCCCUAUCGCGACUGGAAUCGAACUUGGACCCAUCAAGCAGAGUGCCAGUAUAAUGAACUUCUACUUCAUCUCCAGCUUCAGGAGUGUCCCAUCCUUCACCUUCUUUAACAAGCUUCUUCUUCAAACCUUCUUUUCCGAUCACCUUCUCAUCGCCAACUUUCAUGAUCGGACUUUCGUCCGGCAGAUCCAUGUCAUCAUCCAUUCCUUCUGCUCCGGGAAUAUCAAAAUCGUCAUCCAUUGGAG